GCAGUGGUGGCUGAACGGUUAAGGCUCUGGGUUAUUGACCAGAAAGUCGUGGGUUUGAGCCCCAGCACUGCU